AGAGUUGAUCCUGGCUCAGGACGAACGCUGGCGGCGUGCCUAAUACAUGCAAGUCGAGCGAGCGGAACUAACAGAUUUACUUCGGUAAUGACGUUAGGAAAGCGAGCGGCGGAUGGGUGAGUAACACGUGGGGAACCUGCCCCAUAGUCUGGGAUACCACUUGGAAACAGGUGCUAAUACCGGAUAAGAAAGCAGAUCGCAUGAUCAGCUUUUAAAAGGCGGCGUAAGCUGUCGCUAUGGGAUGGCCCCGCGGUGCAUUAGCUAGUUGGUAAGGUAAAGGCUUACCAAGGCGAUGAUGCAUAGCCGAGUUGAGAGACUGAUCGGCCACAUUGGGACUGAGACACGGCCCAAACUCCUACGGGAGGCAGCAGUAGGGAAUCUUCCACAAUGGACGCAAGUCUGAUGGAGCAACGCCGCGUGAGUGAAGAAGGUUUCGGAUCGUAAAGCUCUGUUGUUGGUGAAGAAGGAUAGAGGUAGYAACUGGCCUUUAUUUGACGGUAAUCAACCAGAAAGUCACGGCUAACUACGUGCCAGCAGCCGCGGUAAUACGUAGGUGGCAAGCGUUGUCCGGAUUUAUUGGGCGUAAAGCGAGCGCAGGCGGAARAAUAAGUCUGAUGUGAAAGCCCUCGGCUUAACCGAGGAACUGCAUCGGAAACUGUUUUUCUUGAGUGCAGAAGAGGAGAGUGGAACUCCAUGUGUAGCGGUGGAAUGCGUAGAUAUAUGGAAGAACACCAGUGGCGAAGGCGGCUCUCUGGUCUGCAACUGACGCUGAGGCUCGAAAGCAUGGGUAGCGAACAGGAUUAGAUCCCCUGGAUGUCCUGCCGUAAACGAUGAGUGCUAAGUGUUGGGAGGUUUCCGCCUCUCAGUGCUGCAGCUAACGCAUUAAGCACUCCGCCUGGGGAGUACGACCGCAAGGUUGAAACUCAAAGGAAUUGACGGGGGCCCGCUCAAGCGGUAAUCACUCGUA
rnacentral:rRNA from 1 species